rnacentral:lncRNA from 1 species
UUUAUCAAUUAUAUGUCUGACACUUUCUCUUUCUUUUCCUUUAAUCAUAAUAUUCAAUAACAUUAUAGUUCUGAUUGGAUGUCCCAGUGCACUUGCACAUCCAUGUCCCUUCUGACUACAAACAUGAUAGCAUGAGUUCACAAUGUGGUCAAGUCACAGAUGAGUAAGUGCGGAUUAGGUUGAUUGAGCUCACAUUGGUGAAACUAGGGC